rnacentral:rRNA from 1 species
CCUANGGGAGGCAGCAGUGGGGAAUAUUGGACAAUGGGGGAAACCCUGAUCCAGCAAUGCCGCGUGUGUGAAGAAGGCCUGCGGGUUGUAAAGCACUUUUGGCAGGGAUGAAAAGCACUGGAUUAAUAACCCAGUGUGUUGACCUAACCUGCAGAAGAAGCACCGGCUAACUCUGUGCCAGCAGCCGCGGUAAUACAGGGGGUGCGAGCGUUAAUCGGAAUUACUGGGCGUAAAGGGCGCGUAGGCGGUCGAGUAAGUCGGAUGUGAAAUCCCCGGGCUUAACCUGGGAAUUGCAUUCGAUACUGCUUGGCUAGAGUGUGGAAGAGGGAAGCGGAAUUUCCGGUGUAGCGGUGAAAUGCGUAGAUAUCGGAAGGAACACCAGUGGCGAAGGCGGCUUCCUGGUCCAACACUGACGCUGAGGCGCGAAAGCGUGGGGAGCAAACAGGAUUAGAUACCCUGNUANUC